UGGACGGAGAGUUCGAUCCUGGCUCAGGAUGAACGCUGGCGGCGCGCCUAACACAUGCAAGUCGAACGGCACCCGCCCUCGGGCGGAAGCGAGUGGCGAACGGCUGAGUAACACGUGGAGAACCUGCCCCCCUCCCGGGGAUAGCCGCCGGAAACGGCGGGUAACACCCGAUGACCCCGCACCCGGGCAUCCGGGAGCGGGCAAAACCCAGGUGGAGGGGGAUGGCUCCGCGGCCCAUCAGGUAGACGGCGGGGUGACGGCCCACCGUGCCGACAACGGGUAGCCGGGUUGAGAGACCGACCGGCCAGAUUGGGACUGAGACACGGCCCAGACUCCUACGGG
rnacentral:rRNA from 1 species